rnacentral:rRNA from 1 species
AUUGAACGCUGGCGGCAUGCCUUACACAUGCAAGUCGAACGGUAACGGGCCUUCGGGUGCCGACGAGUGGCGAACGGGUGCGUAAUACAUCGGAACGUGCCCGAUCGUGGGGGAUAACGAGGCGAAAGCUUUGCUAAUACCGCAUACGAUCUACGGUUGAAAGCAGGGGACCGCAAGGCUUUGCGCGGACGGAGCGGCCGCUGGCAGAUUAGGUAGUUGGUGGGUUAAAAGCUUACCAAGCCGACGAUCUGUAGCUGGUCUGAGAGGAUGAUCAGCCACACUGGGACUGAGACACGGCCCAGACUCCUACGGGAGGCAGCAGUGGGGAAUGUUGGACAAUGGGCGCAAGCCUGAUCCAGCCAUGCCGCGUGCAGGAUGAAGGCCUUCGGGUUGUAAACUGCUUUUGUACGGAACGAAAAGCCUUCUUUUAAUACAGGAGGGUCAUGACGGUACCGUAAGAAUAAGCACCGGCUAACUACGUG